rnacentral:rRNA from 1 species
GGCCAUCGCGGAAACGUUUUGACCGGUAGAGCGAACGACUAGAGGUACCGGGGCCGUAACGGCCUCGACCUAUUCUCGAACUCCGAACGGGCAAGGAGCCGGGGUCGCCCGAUCGGACCCCGGACGUGAAGUCGACGAUGGUCGGUGGGCUGGUUUUGGUAAGCAGAACGGGGCGAUUCGGGAUGAACCGGAAGCGGGGAGAAAGGGCCCGAGAUUGCGUCGACGCGGAUCCCGAAAAGGGCGUCGAUCCGUCGCGACAGCGGGACGGUGGUCAUGGAAGUCGAAAUCCGCUAAGAAGCGUGUAAAAACGUACCCGCCCAACGGAUCGGCCCCGAAAAUUGAUGGCGCUCGAACGCAACCCUCGAACCCCGCCGACGGAGGCUAGGGGAGGCCCCGUCGAGUAGGCGGACGCGCGGGUCGCUUCGACGCUCCCGCGCGAGCGGGGGGCGGAGCGGCCCCGUGGUGCAGAUCUUGGUGGUAGUAGCGAUCACCCAGGCGAGAACCCUGAGGGCCGAAGUGGAGAAGGGUUUCUCGAGAACGGCACUCGCUCGAGAGUUAGUCGAUCCUAAGCUGCCGG